rnacentral:rRNA from 1 species
CCGACGGUGAGGGAUGAAUGCUGGGGGCGCAAACCGGAUUAGAUACCCGGGUAGUCCCAGCAGUAAACGAUGCCAGCUAUGUGUUGCUGGAACCAUGGGUUCCAGCAGUGCCGAAUGGAAGCCGUGAAGCUGGCCACCUGGGAAGUACGGUCGCAAUGCUGAAACUUAAAGGAAUUGGCGGGGGAGUACCACAACCGGUGGAGCCUGCGGUUUAAUUGGAUACAACGCCGGGAAUCUUACCGGAGGGGACAGCAGUAUGAAGGCCAGGCUAAAGACCUUGCCAGAUCAGCUGAGAGGAGGUGCAUGGCCGUCGCCAGUUCGUACCGUGAGGCAUCCUGUUUAGUCAGGCAACGAUCGAGACCCGCAGUCUUAUUUGCCAGCAUGCCCUUUGGGGUGUAUGGGUACAAUAAGACGACCGCCAGCGCUAAGCUGGAGGAAGGAGCGGGCUACGGUAGGUCAGCAUGCCCCGAAUCCUCCGGGAUACACGCGGGCUACAAUGGUCAGGACAAAAGGUACCGACCUCGAAAGAGUGAGGUAAUCCACAAACCUGAUCUCAGUCCGGAUCGAAAGCUGCAACUCGCCUUCGUGAAGAUGGAAUCGGUAGUAAUCGUGACUCAA